rnacentral:ncRNA from 1 species
AUGCAUUCGAUUCGUUUAAGAUAAGCUGGCAAUAAAGAAGCGGUAAGAUCAUCCAUGGUGGGCUUUUUUGUUGUGCUUAUUUUGCGAAUUGAGACAUAGAUGGGGAGAAGUGUAACCAUUUGAGGUUAUACCUUUUGGCCAAUGUCUCUUUGUCGUGAUAGGCAGACUAAAGCCCGCACUGCGGAUUUUAGUCUGUUUUUUUAUU